UACGGGGGGGGCAAGCGUUGUUCGGAAUUACUGGGCGUAAAGGGCUCGUAGGCGGCCAACUAAGUCAGACGUGAAAUCCCUCGGCUUAACCGGGGAACUGCGUCUGAUACUGGAUGGCUUGAGUUUGGGAGAGGGAUGCGGAAUUCCAGGUGUAGCGGUGAAAUGCGUAGAGAUGUGGAGGAAUACCAAUGGCGAAGGCAGCCCCCUGGGAUAAUAUUGACGCUCAUGCACGAAAGCGUGGGGAGCAAACAGG
rnacentral:rRNA from 1 species